rnacentral:rRNA from 1 species
CCUACGGGCGGCAGCAGUGGGGAAUAUUGCACAAUGGGGGAAACCCUGAUGCAGCAACGCCGCGUGAGUGAAGAAGUAUUUCGGUAUGUAAAGCCCUAUCAGCAGGGAAGAAGAUGACGGUACCUGAUUAAGAAGCACCGGCUAACUACGUGCCAGCAGCCGGGGUAAUACGUAGGGGGCAAGCGUUAUCCGGAUUUACUGGGUGUAAAGGGAGCGCAGACGGCAGUGCAAGUCUGGAGUGAAAGCCCGGGGCCCAAACCCGGAACUGCUCUGGAAACUGGGCGGCUAGAGUGCUGGAGGGGCAGGCGGAAUUCCUGGUGUAGCGGUGAAAUGCGUAGAUAUUAGGAGGAACACCAGUGGCGAAGGCGGCGUACUGGACAGUAACUGACGUUGAGGCUCGAAAGCGUGGGGAGCGAACAGGAUUAGAUACCCCAGUAGUC